GACGAACGCUGGCGGCGUGCUUAACACAUGCAAUUCGAACGGAAAGGCCCUGCUUGCAGGGUACUCGAUUGGCGAACGGGUGAGUAACACGUGGGUGAUCUGCCCUGCACUUCGGAAUAAGCCGGGGAAACUGGGUCUAAUACCGGAUAGGAGCCAUUUUUAGUGUGAUGGUUGGAAAGUUUUUUCGGUGUAGGAUGAGCUCGCGGCCUAUCAGCUUGUUGGUGGGGUAAUGGCCUACCAAGGCGGCGACGGGUAGCCGGCCUGAGAGGGUGGACGGCCACAUUGGGACUGAGAUACGGCCCAGACUCCUACGGGAGGCAGCAGUGGGGAAUAUUGCACAAUGGGCGCAAGCCUGAUGCAGCGACGCCGCGUGGGGGAUGACGGCCUUCGGGUUGUAAACUCCUUUCGCUAGGGACGAAGCUUUUGUGACGGUACCUAGAUAAGAAGCACCGGCUAACUACGUG
rnacentral:rRNA from 1 species